UCCGGUUGAUCCUGCCGGAGGUCAUUGCUAUUGGGGUCCGAUUUAGCCAUGCUAGUCGCACGGGUUUAGACCCGUGGCAGAUAGCUCAGUAACACGCGGCCAAACUGCCCUGUGGAUCAGGACACUCUCGGGAAACUGAGGCUAAUCCUGAAUAGGGCUCGAUGCCUGGAGUGGCCCGAGUCCGAAACGCUACGGCGCCACAGGAUGUGGCUGCGGCCGAUUAGGUAGACGGUGGGGUAACGGCCCACCGUGCCGAUAAUCGGUACGGGUUGUGAGAGCAAGAGCCCGGAGACGGUAUCUGAGACAAGAUACCGGGCCCUACGGGGCGCAGCAGGCGCGAAACCUUUACACUGCACGGAAGUGCGAUAAGGGGACCCCAAGUGCGAGGGCAUACAGUCCUCGCUUUUCCUGACUGUAGGGCGGUCAGGGAACAAGAGCUGGGCAAGACCGGUGCCAGCCGCCGCGGUAAUACCGGCAGCUCGAGUGAUGACCGAUAUUAUUGGGCCUAAAGCGUCCGUAGCCGGCCGGGCAAGUCUGUUGGGAAAUCCAUCAGCUCAACUGAUGGGCGUCCAGCGGAAACUGUUCGGCUUGAGGCCGGAGGACCCGAGGGGUACGUCCGGGGUAGGAGUGAAAUCCCGUAAUCCCGGACGGACCGCCGGUGGCGAAAGCGCCUCGGGAAGACGGACCUGACGGUGAGGGACGAAAGCUAGGGUCUCGAACCGGAUUAGAUACCCGGGUAGUCCUAGCCGUAAACGAUGCCCGCUAGGUGUGGCACUGGCUACGA
rnacentral:rRNA from 1 species